GAGGGUAUAGCUCAGUGGUAAGUAGAGCAUGUGCUUAGCAUGCAUGAGGUCCUGGGUUCAAUCCCCAAUGUCUCCA
rnacentral:tRNA from 1 species